ACAUAAGACAAUUGAAAAAGGUGUUGGAAGUGUUAAUGCAAAGGCAUCCGAAGAAAGAUUCUGAAGAAGUCGAAAUAGCGAAACCCAAAGGAAUAAUGGAAGAAAUGAUGACCAGCUACUUUAAUUUUUUGAAAUAUCUUAUUCAAUUAUGAUUAAGGACAUGUUUGUUUGAUUAUUUAUAAGGUACAAAAAAUAAUAAUAAAAAUACAGGAACAAA